GAUGAACGCUAGCUACAGGCUUAACACAUGCAAGUCGAGGGGAAACGACAUCGAAAGCUUGCUUUUGAUGGGCGUCGACCGGCGCACGGGUGAGUAACGCGUAUCCAACCUGCCCACCACUUGGGGAUAACCUUGCGAAAGUAAGACUAAUACCCAAUGAUAUCCCACGAAGGCAUCGGAAUGGGAUUAAAGAUUUAUCGGUGAUGGAUGGGGAUGCGUCUGAUUAGCUUGUUGGCGGGGUAACGGCCCACCAAGGCAACGAUCAGUAGGGGUUCUGAGAGGAAGGUCCCCCACAUUGGAACUGAGACACGGUCCAAACUCCUACGGGAGGCAGCAGUGAGGAAUAUUGGUCAAUGGGGCGGAAGCCUGAACCAGCCAAGUAGCGUGAGGGAUGACUGCCCUAUGGGUUGUAAACCUCUUUUAUAAGGGAAUAAAAUACGGGACGUGUCCUGUUUUGCAUGUACCUUAUGAAUAAGGACCGGCUAAUUCCGUG
rnacentral:rRNA from 1 species